rnacentral:tRNA from 1 species
CCGGGCCGGAGCCCCGGCGAUCCGGUCGGCCGAUCUGGUCGGCCGAUCCGGUCGGCCGAUCGGGGCGGCCGAUCCGGGC